rnacentral:tRNA from 1 species
GCCUGGAUGGCUCAGUCGGUUGAGCGUCCGACUUCGGCUCAGGUCAUGAUCUCACAGCUCGUGAGUUCGAGCCCCACGUCGGGCU